GAUGAACGCUGGCGGCGUGCCUAAUACAUGCAAGUCGAGCGAACAGACGAGGAGCUUGCUCCUCUGACGUUAGCGGCGGACGGGUGAGUAACACGUGGAUAACCUACCUAUAAGACUGGGAUAACUUCGGGAAACCGGAGCUAAUACCGGAUAAUAUAUUGAACCGCAUGGUUCAAUAGUGAAAGACGGUUUUGCUGUCACUUAUAGAUGGAUCCGCGCCGCAUUAGCUAGCUGGUAAGGUAACGGCUUACCAAGGCGACAAUGCGUAGCCGACCUGAGAGGGUGAUCGGCCACACUGGAACUGAGACACGGUCCAGACGCCUACGGGAGGCAGCAGUAGGGAAUCUUCCACAAUGGGCGAAAGCCUGACGGAGCAACGCCGCGUGAGUGAUGAAGAUCUUCGGAUCGUAAAACUCUGUUAUUAGGGAAGAACAAAUGUGUAAGUAACUAUGCACGUCUUGACGGUACCUAAUCAGAAAGCCACGGCUAACUACGUG
rnacentral:rRNA from 1 species